AAAUGAAUAGACGGGGACCCGCACAAGCAGCGGAGCAUGUGGUUUAAUUCGAAGCAACGCGAAGAACCUUACCAGGGCUUGACAUCCCCCUGAAGGCGCCGUAACGGGCGCCGCCCUCGGGCAGGGGAGACAGGUGGUGCAUGGUUGUCGUCAGCUCGUGUCGUGAGAUGUUGGGUUAAGUCCCGCAACGAGCGCAACCCUUGUCAUUAGUUGCCAUCAUUAGGUUGGGCACUCUAGUGAGACUGCCGGGGACAACUCGGAGGAAGGUGGGGAUGACGUCAAAUCAUCAUGCCCCUUAUGCCCUGGGCCACACACGUGCUACAAUGGCCGGCACAGAGAGACGCGAUGCCGCGAGGCGGAGCAAAUCCCAAAAACCGGUCCCAGUUCGGAUUGCAGGCUGAAACCCGCCUGCAUGAAGCCGGAGUUGCUAGUAAUCGCGGAUCAGAAUGCCGCGGUGAAUGCGUUCCCGGGUCUUGUACACACCGCCCGU
rnacentral:rRNA from 1 species